rnacentral:lncRNA from 1 species
GGUCCGGUGUAUUCUUUUACUCCUCUCUAAACCUUCUGAUAUUGUAAAUAAUCUUUCUUCUUAAUAAAAUUUGGAUGGCUUUACCGCUAUUUACAUAAGAAAAGGCUUAUAAUCGAUGUAAAUAGGAGACUAAGUAUGAAGAUCAGAGCUAAUUUGCCUGGCAAUAUAGGAAAAUUCAUGAAAUUUGUAUAUUAGAAAUUUUAAGUUGUACAUGAUAAGUACUGAAUAUUUGCUUAUUUAGUUUUCAAAGAUGAAGAACAGAUUGGGAUGCUUAACAA